rnacentral:rRNA from 1 species
AAGCGGAGGAAAAGAAACUAACAAGGAUUCCCCUAGUAACGGCGAGUGAAGCGGGAUGAGCUCAAAUUUGAAAGCUGGCAGCAAUGUCCGCGUUGUAAUCUCGAGAAAUGUUUUCCGUGCUGGACCACGUACAAGUUCCUUGGAAUAGGAUGUCAUAGAGGGUGAAAAUCCCGUACUUGAUGUGGACGCCCAGUGCUUUGUGAUACAUUUUCGAAGAGUCGAGUUGUUUGGGAAUGCAGCUCAAAAUGGGUGGUAAAUUCCAUCUAAAGCUAAAUAUUGGGGAGAGACCGAUAGCGAACAAGUACCGUGAGGGAAAGAUGAAAAGCACUUUGGAAAGAGAGUUAAACAGUACGUGAAAUUGUCAAAAGGGAAGCAUUUGAAGUCAGACGUGUAUUGUAGUACUCAGCCUUGCUUUUGCUUGGUGUAUUUGCUAUAGUACAGGCCAACAUCAGUUUUGAGCGACGGAUAAGGGUAUGGGGAAUGUGGCACCUCCGGGUGUGUUAUAGCCCCGUACUGGAUACGUUGUUUGGGACUGAGGAACGCAGCGCGCCGUAAGGCAGACCCUCGGGUACUUUCGCGCUUAGGAUGUUGGCGUAAUGGCUUUAAGUGACCCGUCUUGAAACACGGACCAAGGAGUCUAACAUGUCUGCGAGUCUUUGGGUGGCAAACCCGUGGGCGCAAUGAAAGUGAAUGCAGGUGGGAUCCGCAAGGAGCACCAUCGACCGAUCCAGAUCUUCUGUGACGGAUUUGAGUAAGAGCAUAUAUGUUGGGACCCGAAAGAUGGUGAACUAUGCCUGAAUAGGGUGAAGCCAGAGGAAACUCUGGUGGAGGCUCGUAGCGGUUCUGACGUGCAAAUCGAUCGUCAAAUUUGGGUAUAGGGGCGAAAGACUAAUCGAACCAUCUAGUAGCUGGUU